rnacentral:misc_RNA from 1 species
UACGUAGGGGGCUAGCGUUGUCCGGAAUCAUUGGGCGUAAAGCGCGCGUAGGCGGCCAGAUAAGUCCAGUGUAAAAGUCACAGGCUCAACCUGUGAAUGUCACUGGAAACUGCCUGGCUAGAGUCCGGAAGAGGCGAGUGGAAUUCCUGGUGUAGCGGUGAAAUGCGCAGAUAUCAGGAAGAACACCAAUUGCGAAGGCAGCUCGCUGGUACGGUACUGACGCUAAGGCGCGAAAGCGUGGGGAGCGAACAGG